CACUACAGUAUUUUUUUGCAUACUUUACAGAAAUUUGUCUCCCUGUAACUGAAGAAAAAAGGACCUUGAAUGGUAUACUUCCAGAAAAAAAAGUUUUGGAUGACCGUUUCAAAGAAAUACUUCCCAGUUAUGACUGGUUCCAGACACAAGAUUCAGUCACUGUGGUAAUAUACACUAAACAAAAGG